rnacentral:misc_RNA from 1 species
UGUGGGAGCGAGCCUGCUCGCGAUGACGGCGGUACGUUCAGCAUCAAUGCAACUGAACCACCGCUAUCGCGAGCAGGCUCGCUCCCACA